rnacentral:rRNA from 1 species
AACGAACGCUGGCGGCAUGCCUAACACAUGCAAGUCGAACGAGACCUUCGGGUCUUGUGGCGCACGGGUGCGUAACGCGUGGGAACCUGCCCUUAGGUUCGGAAUAACUCCCCGAAAGGGGUGCUAAUACCGGAUAAUGUCUUCGGACCAAAGAUUUAUGGCAGUUGGAUGGGCCCGCGUUGGAUUAGCUAGUUGGUAUGGUAAAAGCCUAUCAAGGCGACGAUCCAUAGCUGGUCUGAGAGGAUGAUCAGCCACACUGGGACUGAGACACGGCCCAGACUCCUACAGGAGGCAGAAGUGGGGAAUAUUGGACAAUGGGCGAAAGCCUGAUCCAGCGAUGCCGCGUGAGUGAUGAAGGCGUAAGGGUUGUAAAGCUCUUUUACCCGGGAUGAUAAUGACAAUACCGGGAGAAUAAGCUCCGGCUAACUCCG